rnacentral:rRNA from 1 species
CCCUUAGAUGUUCUGGGCUGCACACGUGCUACACUGGCAGGUUCAGCGAGCUUCAUGCCCUGAUCUGAAAGGAAUGGGAAAUCUUUUCAAAACCUGCCGUGCUUGGGAUAGAUGUUUGCAAUUAUUCAUCUUCAACGAGGAUUGCCUUGUAAGCGCACGUCAUCAGCGUGCAUUGAAUACGACCCUGUAUUCUGUACACACCGCCCGACGCUCCUACCGAUUGAAGUUUUCGGUGAGUUGACAGGAGGAUUUUUUUGAAACUGGUUCGCCAGUGGAUUUUAGAUCCAAAUGCCAACGAAUCGAUGGCUUUAGAGGAAGGAGAAGUCGUAACA